AACAAAUUAACUAGAAAGACGAGUAAGCAAAUUUAAUCGUUAAGUGAGCUAGUGUUAGUGUGAAACUAGUCGACCCUGAUUUGCUGAAAAACCCUUUCCCAAGUUGCUAACCCAAAUGAUUAUUAUCAGAGUAGGCUUAGACGUAUCCGGUACGUUACAAUCGGUGGAGUAUUAUUUGUACUCUUAUAUGAGUUGGUCUAUAUAUAAUAGGCAACUUGGGUGGUACCGCGGAAAUAAGCCUUUCGUCCCUUGU
rnacentral:ncRNA from 1 species